rnacentral:lncRNA from 1 species
ACCGAUUUAAAUUCAAAGAUCUUUAUACUGCCACCAAAGGAUUUAGAGACGAGGAGCUGUUGGGUAGUGGUGGAUUUGGUAGAGUCUACAAAGGUGUCUUGCCAACCUCGAAGAUUCAGAUUGCAGUGAAAAGGGUGUCUCAUGAAUCAAGACAGGGGAUGAGGGAAUUUGUGGCGGAAAUUGUCAGCAUUGGUCGCCUUCGUCACCGGAAUUUAGUCCCUCUCUUGGGGUACUGCCGGCGUAAAGGAGAGCUACUUUUGGUAUAUGACUACAUGCCUAAGGGAAGUCUAGACAAAUACCUCUAUGACCAACCAGCAGUCGCCCUCAAUUGGAGCCAAAGAUUUAGAGUCAUCAAAGGCGUAGCUUCAGGGUUAUUAUAUCUACAUGAAGAAUGGGAGCAAGUUGUGAUUCAUAGAGAUGUCAAGGCUAGUAAUGUCUUGCUAGAUGGUGAAUUGAAUGGAAGAUUAGGGGAUUUUGGCCUUGCAAGAUUGUAUGACCAUGGAACAGAUCCUCAAACGACCCACGUUGUCGGAACUCUUGGGUAUCUCGCACCUGAGCAUGCACGAACUGGAAAGGCCACGACAAGCACUGAUGUGUUCGCUUUUGGGGCCUUCCUGCUUGAGGUUGCUUCUGGUAGAAGGCCAAUACAGCCAACUGAGGAUAUAAUCUUGGUUGAUUGGGUGUUUAGUCGAUGGCUUGGAGGUGAAAUUCUGGAGGCAAGGGAUCCCAAUUUGGGAACAGAAUAUAUUGCAGAGGAAAUGGAAUUGGUAUUGAAACUUGGUUUGAUGUGCUCUCAUUCUGAGCCUGCAGCAAGGCCAAGCAUGCGCCAAGUAGUGCAGUUCUUAGAGGGGAAUGUUCCUCUGCCUGACAUUUCACCACUUUGUCUUUCUGCAAGUGGCCUAACAUUUUCACAUCGUGAAGGUUUUGAUGACUUUGCCAAUUCUUAUCCUUCUUCUAUGGACAAUGCAUUUGCACACUCGUCCUCGGUUACAGAGUCCCUCCUUUCAGGUGGCCGUUAAUUCUUGCUUUUCUUCGAGGACCCAUCAAGAACUCAUGUAAGAUCUAUUUGGUGAAUAAGAGGAGUUCUUGUAUGCAACAUAUACAUUACCUUAUGCGUGUGUUUUUUCUAUAUAAAAAAAACUAUGUAGUAAACUGCCUUUAAGAGAUGUACAUGAAAGAUCACCUGCAAAACAACGAUGCGAAUUAAAUAAAAUGCAUAACACGGUAUAUCUACCUUUUGUUCAUGUUAAUGUAUCACAUAAGAGAGCAAACAUGGUAACAAAUCAUGAAGCAGGAUGUAAUGUUUAAAAGACAUGCAUAGUUAUGGUUGGAAGUAGUACCAAACUCUGUCUAUCAAAGGACCAAUUCGAGUUGGUUCUUGGCCAUUGGCGACUAGUAAUGGUUUUACAAAGAAUCAGAGUGUUCAGGCCAACUUUAUUCAAGUUGGCUAAUUGUAUAGUGUCAACGAGGUCAGUGAAGCACAAGGGUAUCUCUUUUCAUGGUCUCUAAUAACAGCAAUAUAGGUGGAUAGAUGAUCAGAACUUGAAAACGAGUAAUUUUGCUCCAACGCAUGGACACUUAUGUAGGAGAUUUUUUUUCUUUCUAAUGUAUAAUUUUAUAUUAACAUGCAUAAAUUUUAAUUCAUCGUGAUCGCCAGAAUCACGUGAUGGUACUUCUUACAAACAACAAAACAUCAAAAAAUGAUUUUUCUUUAUACUUACUUGGCAAGGUGGUUCUUGAGGGGACUUGAUCGGGUGAUUUUCUUCGGUCAUAACAAAGCUCUGAACAGGAGGGGACUGUUGGUUUCCUUGUAUUUGAGAUUAAAAAAAAAAAAGAGUGCCGGUGAAAUGAAAGCAGCAUGCCGAUUUAUAGAUCACACAGCAAGGUUUCACUAUUUCAAUUUCUAGAUGCAAUUGAACACUCGGUUUUCCCGACAUAAAAUUUGAGCAGAACAAACAAGGCACUAUAUUCUCCUAUUUGGCGUCAAGUCCGUCCAAAACAUUUGUAAGCAAAAAUAUGACUAAAGGUAACUACAAGUAAAUCUCCCAACUAUAUAGGGUUAGUCUCAGUUAGUCCUCAAAGAUUAAAAUUGAUCUAUUUUGCCCUCAACUAUUAAGCAUUAUCCUUUCUUGCUUCCUAAUCAGCACGCCUUGAAAGCGAUCAACAAAAUUAGUAUAUUACGCAUGUCUUUUGUGGUUUCCUAUUUUGAUUUGAUUUUAAAAGUUUUCAUAGUUGGAUUUAGUACCUUCAACUUAUGAUUUGGUAGCUAGAUUGGAUUCGAUACGUAACGAAAUGGGCUAGUAUCAAGUCCUAGAUAGAUCCAAAAUGUAUUGUGUCGAGCCACCUACAGUUAAAGCCCGAACUUGGUCAGAGGCAUCUGGAAAAAGUCCUGAGCACUUAUGGUCAAGCCGAGAAAGAGUAUAGGAAGCCUGAGUAGUUAAAGUUGAUCGGAGUCCAAGGUGCCUAAAUGUAAGACGGGAAUCGAGUUCUGGACACCUAAUGAUCUACCAAGGAAAUCCGAUAAAUUGCUAGGACAAACAUAGGGAUAAACCUCACUAUUCACUGCUAGAAAAUCGAUAAGUAUAAAUAAAAAUACUAAGAAAAUAUUUUUGUUGGUAAAUUACCGACAAAAAUAUUCCCUACAUUGAAAAAAAAAAAUUUAAAAAAAAAUAAUGACGUGUCAUUUUUACCAGCAGAAUUACUGAUAGAAUUAACUCCGUCGGUAAAAUCGUUUGUAAACUGUGAACACUAUUCGUCAUAUCAAUUACAAAGGGAAUCAUCAAUGAAAGCUUCUGUCAGUAUUUUACAGAGAGCUCUGAAACUAUUCACUUUCCAAUUACACUUUUAAUUACUAUUCUUUACAGAAAAAUCAUCGACGGAUUGAAAAGUCAUCGAUGUUAUUUUGUGGUUUUCUGAAAAAUUUAGCUUAAAUUAAAAAUUUUAAUUAAAUAUUACAGACGAAAUCACCAACAUAUUGAAAAGUAGUUAGUGAUAUUUGGUGAUUUCUAAAUUGUUUUGAUUAAAUUCAAAAUUUAAAUUAAAUAUUACAGACAGAAUCAACGGAAUAAUUAAAAAUAUUAAUAUUUAGUUAUCCGUCGGUAAAACGUCACAAUAAAAAACCUAGAAUCCCUAAUUUCACAAGAGACCCGUUUAUUAUCUUCUUCCUCUUCUUCUUCUUCUUGUUUUUUUUUCUUCUCUCUUCUCUACUCAACUCCUCUUCUCCUCCAUGCUCAAGUAUGUCUUCUUCUCCUUUCUUUUUUUUUCUUCCCAAUUUUUUUUAAUUAGUAUUCUUUACAAAUUUGUUUUUCUUUUCUUCUUAACUUCACUUACAACUACAUUAAGGUAAAAAAAAACAUUUUCUUCUUUUUUUGUGUUUUUUUCACUAUAUUUGUUUUUUAUUUUAUUUUUAAUUGUUUUUGUUCUAAAUAAUUAUAUGAAUUUGUUGUAGGAUUUUUUUUUCAUAUGAGAUCAAUUUUUAGUUGAUUUAUUUAUAGGAUUUUAAAAAAAUUUCAUAUGAUUUUUUUAGUUGAAUUUAUUUUUUGAUGUUAUUUAUUUGUUGCAAAUUUUUUGAGUUGAUUUUCUUUUUCUUUUUUCCAAGAAUUUUGAGUAUUAUAGAGUGUUGAUUAAUAUUAAUUAAAUUAUUUUAUGAUUUUAUAAAAUAGAUUUUUUAAAAAUAUUUUUUAAUAAUUACCGACAGAAUUACAUACGGUAUUUUUCUGAGGGAAUUACCGACGAAAUGAAACGGGUAAUUUAAUUGUUUUAUUACCAAACGAAAUUUUGCGUGGUUGCGGGUGAACCUCACCCGCAACCACAAAACCAAACACCCACUUAUUUUAUGGACAGUGAUUUGUUAAAAUCAUUUUUAAAAUUUUUAUUUAUUUGUUAUUAAAAAAAUAUUAAUCAACAAAAACUAUUUUUUAAUAAAAAAAAAUUAGCUUGAUUUACAUAAAAGUAUUUUAUUAUUUUGAGAAAAAAAAAACUUUUCAAAAGUUAUGAAAAAUUUAGAAAUAUCAUGUUAUUUACUGAUUUUAUCAAAUUUGAUCCUCAAAUUUUUUAUUUUAUAUAUUUUGUUUUGAAUAUUAUUUUUUCAAAUUCAUCUCUUUAAAUUUAAUUUGAUUUGCUUUUUAUAUUUAUUUUUUAUUUUUAAGAUUGUUAUUUGAUUUUCUUUUAUUAUUUUUUUAAUUGAAAUUAAUUAUUUAUUAGAUUUGGUCUUUAUUUUUUUUAUUAUUUAAUUUAUUUGAAAUAAUUUAUGAAAUUGUAAUUUUUUUUUAUUUUUAUAAAUUUUCAACUUUUUUAUCUAUUAGAUCUUUAUUAUUUUAAUUAUUAUUUAUUUUAUUUGAGAUAAUUUAUGAAAUUAGAGUUUUUUUAAUUUUACUUUAAUUUAAUUUUUUCAUUUUUAAGAUUUGUCUUUAUUAUUUUAGUAAACUUGAAAAAAUAGUAAUAAUUUAUUUUUUAACUUUUUUUCCAUGGUCAAAUACUAGAAAAUAUUUUAUAAUUUAUUUUUCAUAAUACAAUUAAAUAUUAGAAAACAAUUUACUUUUCAAGAAUUUAUUUUUUAAAUAACUAUUUAAAAAAUAUAUAUUUUUCAGCUAACAAACUGCCGACUCCUGAAUUACGUGGAUACUCCAUUAUAAGUGACAAACAUGAACAAGAAACUGGUGGGUGGAGACAAACACAGUUGCAAUGUUAUUCAGGAACGUCUUUUUUGUGCGUGUCUUCGUUAGCUUAGCAAUAGCAGCCUCUCAAGAUCUCAACUUCACCUUCUCUGGCUUCCGAUCCACUAAUCUAAGCCUUGACGGCUUAGCUGAGUUAACCUCCAAUGGCCUUUUGAGGCUAACCAAUGAAACCAAGCAACGAACUGGUCACGCCUUCUAUCCAAACCCAGUAACCUUCAACAACUCUAUAAAUAGCACUGCUUUCACCUUCUCCACCGCCUUUGUUUUCGCUAUCAUACCUCAAUAUGAAAGUUUUGGUGGCCAUGGUAUUGCCUUUGUCAUUGCACCCACAAGAGGUCUCCCAGGAGCUCUUCCAAGCCAGCACCUUGGUCUAUUUGAUGAGAACAACAAUGGGAAUCAGACUAACCGUGUGGUUGCUGUGGAGCUUGACACGAUAUACAACAGCGAUUUCAAAGAUAUCAAUGAUAACCAUGUUGGGAUUGAUAUUAAUGGUUUAGUGUCUGAACGAUCUGCUCCAGCAGGAUAUUAUUCCCAACUUAAUGGUAAGCUCACAAACUUGACACUAGUUAGUGGCCAUCCAAUGCAAGUUUGGAUGGAAUAUGAUGGCAUGGAGAAGCAAAUGAAUGUCACUAUAGCUCCGAUUGAUGUUGAUAAACCCAGUACACCACUUUUGACUUUGUCUCGUGAUUUGUCGCCAAUCUUAAACAGUAGUAUGUAUAUCGGAUUUUCAUCAUCCACCGGUUCUGUUUUCUCGUCCCAGUAUGUGUUGGGUUGGAGCUUCAAGAUGAAUGGCCUAGCUGAAGCCCUAAAUAUCUCUCGCCUUCCUAAGCUUCCUCGCAUAGGACCAAAGAAGACAUCCAAAUUCUUAACCAUUGGACUGCCUGUGCUCUGUUUAAGUUUGGUUUUAGUAGCAGUCUCGAGUAUAACUUAUGCCAUACGAAGGACAAGGAAGUUUGCAGAAGUGCUAGAAGAUUGGGAGCUCGACUAUGGGCCUCACCGAUUUAAAUUCAAAGAUCUUUAUACUGCCACCAAAGGAUUUAGAGACGAGGAGCUGUUGGGUAGUGGUGGAUUUGGUAGAGUCUACAAAGGUGUCUUGCCAACCUCGAAGAUUCAGAUUGCAGUGAAAAGGGUGUCUCAUGAAUCAAGACAGGGGAUGAGGGAAUUUGUGGCGGAAAUUGUCAGCAUUGGUCGCCUUCGUCACCGGAAUUUAGUCUCUCUCUUGGGGUACUGCCGGCGUAAAGGAGAGCUACUUUUGGUAUAUGACUACAUGCCUAAUGGAAGUCUAGACAAACACCUCUAUGACCAACCACCAGUCGCCCUCAAUUGGAGCCAAAGAUUUAGAGUCAUCAAAGGCGUAGCUUCAGGGCUAUUAUAUCUACAUGAAGAAUGGGAGCAAGUUGUGAUUCAUAGAGAUGUCAAGGCUAGUAAUGUCUUGCUAGAUGAUGAAUUGAAUGGAAGAUUAGGGGAUUUUGGCCUUGCAAGAUUGUAUGACCAUGGAACAGAUCCUCAAACGACCCACGUUGUCGGAACUCUUGGGUAUCUCGCACCUGAGCAUGCACGAACUGGGAAGGCCACGACAAGCACUGAUGUGUUCGCUUUUGGGGUCUUCUUGCUUGAGGUUGCUUCUGGUAGAAGGCCAAUACAGCCAACUGAGGAUAUAAUCUUGGUUGAUUGGGUGUUUAUUCGAUGGCUUGGAGGUGAAAUUCUGGAGGCAAGGGAUCCCAAUUUGGGUACAGAAUAUAUUGCAGAGGAAAUGGAAUUGGUAUUGAAACUUGGUUUGAUGUGCUCUCAUUCUGAGCCUGCAGCAAGGGCAAGCAUGCGCCAAGUAGUGCAGUUCUUAGAGGGGAAUGUUCCUCUGCCUGACAUUUCACCACUUCGUCUUUCUUCAAGUGGCCUAACAUUUUCACAUCGUGAAGGUUUUGAUGACUUUGCCAAUUCUUAUCCUUGUUUUAUGGAUAAGGCAUGUGCACAUUUGUCCUCGGUUCCAGAGUCCCUCCUUUCAGGUGGCCGUUAAUUCUUGCGUUUCUUCAAGGACCUUGUUGAAUUAAUGUCUCAGAAGCUGCUGAUGUGGAAGAUGGAAGAGUUUAGAAUCAAAUAAAACUCAUGCUGGUUUGAAGUUUUAAGAGUUUGUACGGAUUUGCAUAAUCUUCUUUUAUGUUAUGUAACAAACAGCAGCAGAUAUUGCUGCUGUUUUUUUGCUUUUGCUGUUGUAAGAAGUGUUUAAAGAAGACUUCUGAUAAUCAAUAAAAUUAACGAAGUUUUCAGAAUAGCUUUGUUCUGUGUUAACAUUUACAAUUUAUUCUGUCAAAAACUAUCAGACCUUAUCAAGAACUCAUGUAAGAUCUAUUUGGUGAAUCAGAGGAGUUCCUGUAUGCAAUACAUUACCUUAUGAGUGGGUUUUUUUUUAAAAAAAAAAUAUUAUGUAGUAAACUGCCUUUAGGAGAUGUACAUGAAAGAUCACCUGCAAAACAAUGAUGCAAAUUAGAUAAAAUGCAUAACACGGCGUCUCUCCCUUUUGUUUAUGUUGAUGUAUCACAUAAGAAAGCAAACGUGGUAACAAAUCAUGAAGCUCGAGGUAAUGUUUAAAAGACAUGCAUAGUUAUAGUUGGAAGUAGUACAAGAAUUACUCUGUUAAAUUUUUAAAAUAUAAUUUAUAUUAUUAUUUAAUAUAAUUUUCUGAGUAAAAAAAAUUUUAGCUUUAAAUUUACACCAAUUUAUUUUAUUUUAUAUUUUAUUUUAUUAUAUAAAUAAAAAUAAUAAAAUUUAAACUCAAGACUAUUUUGUUAUCAAAAUUCUGAUAACAUAUUAAAAAAUUAUUAAUUUAUAUUAUUCUACUCCACUUUUUCCUUGAUAAACCGAUCCUCUAUCUUUUAGCAUCAUAAAUAGUCCAGUUAUGCAUCAAUUCUAACUAGCUACGUGUCAGGAUUGAAUAACACAUGACUCGCAUUGACUCGACACGUAGAUAGUAACGUUACGACUAGUCGGUUUAAACUGAAACAACCUUUUCAAUCAUCACUCACUCUUUCCCUAACCUGGAAGACAAGCAACUCAAUAAAACAGAGAAGACCACCAAAAUUACUUGAGUUGUUAUUGGUUUCCUGUUUUGUACCAGGAAAUUAGGACAAACUAAAUUGGUAGCACGCGUUACGUGUUACGCUAUCGGUCAAAACUAGUAUUUCUCAGCGUAAAAAUAGGUAUUCAGGCAAACCUAAUUAAGUCAUUUAAAAAAAAAAUUAAUAUCUGAAACUCAGGUUAUUAACUAACUCCAUAGGAUUCAAUAAAUUAUGAUCCUUUUUGUCAUACUGAUUAGUCCGCAUAACGCAGAUUCUCCUUUAACUUACUCGUUCUUUAUUUUCACAUUUCAAAAACAUUUAAAAAAUAAAUAAACUUUUUAUUUAUUUUCUCUUUUACUUUAAAUUAAUAUUUUUAGUUUAUUUUAAUGUUCUAAUAUCAAAAAUAAUUUUUUAAAAAUAAAAAAAUAUAUCAUUUUGAUGUAUUACCAAAUAAAAAGUAUUUUAAAAAGCAAUCUUAACCACACUUCCAAACAGAUUCGGUCCUUAUUCAUAAAUAUUUCUAAAAGCUAUCCGAUUAUAAUAUAUCUACAAUCUAAGUGAUUAAAAUUACAUUGAAAUGUAAUUUAAUUGGUCAAAUUUUAAAUUUAUUUCCUAAAAGUUAUAGUUUGAAUAUCAAAAACCUCAAAAUUACUAAAAACUUAUAUGAUCAUGAAUUUCAAGGUUUUAAAAUAUUAUUCGAUGUACGUUUAAGCUGAUCUGAAUAUCUAUAAAUACCAAAAACAAAGUUACUUGUAUCGCUUGAACUGAAAUCCACAUACCAAAGUAGAUCACGUUUCAAUUUAUUUUAUUAAAUAUUUACAUUAAAUUUCCGGUUCAUAUAUAUAUAUAUAUAUAUAUAUAUAUAUGCUAGAAAAUGCUUUGAAAAUUAAAGUGUGUAUUUGCCUUAAUAAAAACUUUUUCACCCGACUCACUCAACAGGCCAGUAGUUACUAGACGAGGCAGCAGUAAAUUAAUCCCAUGAUAAAUUUAUGUUAAUGUGUAUAAAUUUUAAUCCAAUUGUUAGAUCAACUGUAAAAUUUGCUAGAAGCUUCCAGAGACCUUGGUUUCUUUAGGGUUAAAUUUUGAAGCAAUUGAUUAGGAGAUAAAUAAUUUUAGGUUGCUUGUUCUUCUAUCUUUCUUGAUCUUGUGUUGCUUCCAUUUGCUCUUAAUGUGGAACUGGGCUCGGUGGGCACCAUUCAAUUGAAUUUCAGGUUCUCUUGAAAUUCCUACUUGGAAGUGGGAAUACAUUCUAUACAUACAGAAACUUCAGAGAUGAAAAAUCCCUCCUUGAUAACAAUAUCCCAUUCCACUCACUGACAAAAGUUUGCAAGAUUCCUCUCUUUCUUUAUCAUUUUCUUUCCGUUGAUCCAAGCAAGUUCAGUUCAAGAUUUGAAACAAGACUUCUUAUAAUCGUUGAACAAUUAUGCCGACAUUUUUGGACCCUAUAAAUUUUAUGACUUGUGUGUUUUGCGUUUGCCCAAUUAAAGACAACCCAUAGUGAAUGACAUGAAAAGAGAAGAAAAUGAUAGCAGACAACAUUCAUAAUGGGGAGAAGGAUGUAUGGGCACACAUGGGCCAUAUAGAUUAGUUAUGUAAAUAGUAAUGGUGAACCAUUAAAUUUAAAUGGAAUCUGUCUUCUCAGAUGAAUAUUUCGUACAUGCCUAGCAGAUGUGCUUUUAGUAGUAUUACCUGUCCAUAAAAAAUAUCUAAAGGUGCAGAGGAUCUAGUUGAUGAUAGUAGCUGGAAGAGGGAAGACAGUUAUCCAGAAUUGAACUAUACCGAAGAGAAUAGUUUUCAAAAGCUCCAAUCAACCAGCAUAUGAGAGAUUUUUACCUCCAGUUCUAAAUUAUCGACUCUAAUUUGAAUAAAAAAAAGAGAAAAAAUGACUUGUCAAUAGCCUAUGAGGACUAAGAGGAAAACCCAAAUAUGUUAAGGGAAAGGAUCCUUAUUUAAAUCAAGAAUCAUGAAGAAGAGCCAGCUUCAAGUCAAUUCUCUCCUCUUUCCUUCAUUAAAGCAAUCUUAUUGCGUGGAAGGGUAGUGGAGAAUGUUUUUUAUUUUUUUAUUUAUAAAUAUAUUAAAAUAAUUUUUAAAUUUUAUUUAUUACAUUAAUAUAUCAAAAAUAAUAUAAAAACACUAGAAAAAUCAUUUAAAUUUAAUUAAAAAAUAUGUUUAACCUAACCGUGAAAUUUCAUGAAAGAGUUGCUGAAAUUGACUAGUUUUUCAUAUUGCCUUAAAAUUAGGGGUCUUGUGCUUUCACAUCAACCUGAAAGUUUGACAAGUUAGAUUAUCUCAACCAUGCAAAUAUUCUCUGCAUUGUUUCAUUAAUUGGCUCUCUCAUUAAGAUACAUUUAUUUCACGGAAAAUGAUUUUUUAAUUGUUUUUUUUUUUAAUAUAGAAAAUAAAAAAUACUAUAUUAUUUACUGAUUUUAUUAAAUUUGAUUUUCAUAUAUUUUAUUUUGAUUUGUUUUUAAUUUUAUCAUUUAAAAUUUAAUUUAAUUUGAUUUUUAAAUGAACUUUGGAUUUUAUUUUUAGAAUUGUUAUUUGUUUUUCUCUUAUUAUUUUCUUUAUUAAAAAUUUGUUCUUAUCAAAUUUGAUCAUUACUUUUUUUUAUUAUUUAUUUAUUUAAAAUAAUUUAUGAAAUUAUAAUUUGUUGUUAAGUUCAUAAUCUUUCAACUUUUUUAUAUGUUAUAUUUGAUCUUUAUUAUUUUGAUUGUUAUUUAUUUUAUUUGAGAUAAUUUAUAAAAUUAGAUUUUUUUAAAAUUUUAUUGUCAUUCAACUUUUUAAUUUAUAAGAUUUGUUUCUAAUUAUUUUAAUUAAAAAAAUAUUAACAAUUUAUUUUUAAGUUUAUUUUCCAUAACCUAGUCUAAACACUUAAGAGUAUUUUUUAAUUUAGUUUUUAUAUAUUACUAAAUAUUAAAAAAAACAUUCACUUCUCAUAAAAUUAUUUUUUUAAAAAAAUAAUUUUUCAACAAACAACCAGACUAACUCCUGAAUUACGUGGAUACUCCAUUAUAACUGACAAACAUGAACAAGAAACUGGUGGGUGGAGACAAAUACAGUCGCAAUGUUAUUCAGGAUCGUCUUCUUGGUGCGUGUCUUCGUUAGCUUAGCAAUAGCAGCCUCUCAAGAUCUAAACUUCACCUUCUCUGGCUUCCGAUCCACUAAUCUAAGCCUUGACGGCUUAGCUGAGUUAACCUCCAAUGGCCUUUUGAGGCUAACGAAUAUAACCUACCACCGAACGAGUCACGCCUUCUAUCCAAACCCAGUAACCUUCAAGAACUCUAUAAAUAGCACAGCUUCCACCUUCUCCACUACCUUUGUUUUCGCUAUCAUACCUGAAUAUCCAACUCUUGGCGGCCAUGGUUUUGCCUUUGUCAUUGCACCCACAAGAGGUCUCCCAGGAGCUGUUCCAAACCAGUACCUUGGUCUAUUUAAUGAGACCAACAAUGGGAAACAGACCAACCAUGUUGUUGCUGUGGAGCUUGACACGAUAUACAACAUCGAGUUCGAUGAUAUCAAAGAUGACCAUGUUGGGAUUGAUAUUAAUGGUUUAAAGUCUGAACGAUCUGCUUCACCAGGAUAUUAUUCUCAACUUAAUGGUAAGCUCACAAACUUGACACUAAUUAGUGGCCAUCCAAUGCAAGUUUGGAUCGAAUAUGAUGGCAUGGAGAAGCAAAUGAAUGUCACUAUAGCUCCGAUUGAUGUUGAUAAACCCAGUAGACCACUUUUGACUCUGUCUCGUGAUUUGUCGCCAAUCUUAAACAAUAGUAUGUAUAUCGGAUUCUCAUCAUCCACCGGUUCUUUUUCUGCGUCCCAGUAUGUGUUGGGUUGGAGCUUCAAGAUGAAUGGCCUAGCUGAAGCGCUAAAUAUCUCUCGCCUUCCUAAACUUCCUCGCGUAGGACCAAAGAAGACAUCCAAAUUCUUAACCAUUGGACUGCCUGUGCUCUGUUUAAGUUUGGUUUUAGUAGCAGUCUCGGGUAUAUCUUAUGCCAUACGAAGGACAAGGAAGUUUGCAGAAGUGCUAGAAGAUUGGGAGCUUGACUAUGGGCCUCACCGAUUUAAAUUCAAAGAUCUUUAUACUGCCACCAAAGGAUUUAGAGACGAGGAGCUGUUGGGUAGUGGUGGAUUUGGUAGAGUCUACAAAGGUGUCUUGCCAACCUCGAAGAUUCAGAUUGCAGUGAAAAGGGUGUCUCAUGAAUCAAGCAGGGGAUGAGGGAAUUUGUGGCGGAAAUUGUCAGCAUUGGUCGCCUUCGUCACCGGAAUUUAGUCCCUCUCUUGGGGUACUGCCGGCGUAAAGGAGAGCUACUUUUGGUAUAUGACUACAUGCCUAAUGGAAGUCUAGACAAAUACCUCUAUGACCAACCAGCAGUCGCCCUCAAUUGGAGCCAAAGAUUUAGAGUCAUCAAAGGCGUAGCUUCAGGGCUAUUAUAUCUACAUGAAGAAUGGGAGCAAGUUGUGAUUCAUAGAGAUGUCAAGGCUAGUAAUGUCUUGCUAGAUGGUGAAUUGAAUGGAAGAUUGGGGGAUUUUGGCCUUGCAAGAUUGUAUGACCAUGGAACAGAUCCUCAAACGACCCACGUUGUCGGAACUCUUGGGUAUCUCGCACCUGAGCAUGCACGAACUGGAAGGCCACGACAAGCACUGAUGUGUUCGCUUUUGGGGCCUUCCUGCUUGAGGUUGCUUCUGGUAGAAGGCCAAUACAGCCAACUGAGGAUAUAAUCUUGGUUGAUUUGGUGUUUAGUCGAUGGCUUGGAGGUGAAAUUCUGGAGGCAAGGGAUCCCAAUUUGGGCACAGAAUAUAUUGCAGAGGAAAUGGAAUUGGUAUUGAAACUUGGUUUGAUGUGCUCUCAUUCUAAGCCUGCAGCAAGGCCAAGCAUGCGCCAAGUAGUGCAGUUCUUAGAGGGGAAUGUUCCUCUGCCUGACAUUUUACCACUUCGUCUUUCUGCAAGUGGCCAAAAAUUUGCACAUCGUGAAGGUUUUGAUGACUUUGCCUAUUAUUAUCCUUCUUCUAUGGACAAGGCAUCUGCACAUUCGUCCUUGGUUGCAGAGUCCCUCCUUUCAGGUGGCCGUUAAUUCUUACUUGUCUUCCAGGACCUGUUGAAUUAAUGUCUCAGAAGCUGCUGAUGUGGAAGAUGGAAAGUUUACAGUCAAAUAAAACUCAUGUUGGUUUGAAGUUUCAAAAGUUUGUAAGGAUUUGCAUAAUCUUCUUUUCUGUUAUGUAACAACACAGCAGAUAUUGCUGCUGUUUAUUUGCUUUUGCUGUUUUAAGAAGUGUUUAAAUAAGACUUCUGAUAAUCAAUAAGAUUAACGAAGUUUUCAGAAUAGCUUUGUUCUCUGUUAACAUUUACAAUUUAUUCUGUCAAAAACUAUCAGACCAUAUGAGUGGAUUUUUUUAUUAAAAAAAACUAUGUAGUAAACUGCCUUUAGGAGAUGUACAUGAAAGAUCACCUGCAAAACAAUGAUGCAAAUUCAAUAAAAUUCAAUUAAAUUAUUAAAUAAAAUUCUAAAAUAUAAUUAAUAUUAUUCUACCUCACUUAUUCAUUAAUAAACCGAUCCUCUAUUUUUGAGCAUUAUAAAUAGUCCAGUUCUGCAUCAAUUCUAACUAGCUACGUGUCAGAUUGAAUAACACAUGACUGGCAUAGACUCUAUACAUAGAUAGCAACGUUACGACUGGUUGUGUUAAACUGAAACAACCUUUUCAAUCCUCACUAUCACUCUUUCCCUAGCCUGGAAGACAAGCAACUCAAUAAAACAGAGAAGACCAUCAAAAUUACUUGUGUUGUUAUUGUUUUCCAGUUUUGUACCAGGAAAUUAGGACAAACUAAAUUGGCAGCACGCGUUACGUGUUAUGCUAUCGGUCAAAACAAGUAUUUUUCAAUUGUAACGGAGCUAGAAUAUUUUAAAUGAAGGUGCAAAUUAAUUAAUAAAUAUAUACUAUAUUAUAUAAAUAUACUUAAAAUUUAAUUUUAAAUAAAUAUACUAACUCAUAUAAAGCAAAACUAAUUUAAAAAUACUUUUAAAAUGAAAAAACUUACAUUAUAAUUAUUCUCUUUAAGUUUUCAUAAUAACAAAAUUCAGUUCAGUUAUACAAUAAUUGUAAAUAUUCCAUAUGAAAUUUAUAAUACAAUACACAUUAAUUCAUCAAAAUGCAUGGAUAUAGAUCAGCAUUGAUAGUUUAAAUUUAUCAUGAUAGAUUAUUUUUAAAAACAAAAAAAUAGUUUUAUUUUAAAAAAAAACUAAAAUUUAAUUUUGCAAAUAUUAAUCUUUACUCACUGACAACAAUUGAAAUGUUUGCUUGUUUAUCUUGUGAAAAAAAAAAUUUCAUAUCAUAAUUAAUUCAAUUAAAAUUAUAUUAUUUACUGAUUUUAUUAAAUUUGAUUUUUAAAUUUUUCAUUGUUAUGUAUUUUGUUUUGAUUUUUUUUAAUUUCAUCAUUGUUGCUACCCAAUUUUUGACCUAUGUUUUGAUAAAUUUUUUAAAAAAUCUAAAAAUAGAGAAAAACAAUGAAAAUAAAAAAAUAUAUAUGUUUUUUAAUAUAUUUGCAUCAUUUUUAGCAUUUUCAGCGUCGUCUAAAAAAGAAUUUAAAUUUUAAAGGGUAUUUCAAAUGCGUUCGACUUUUCACACAUCAUUUUUAAAAUCUUUGAUUUUCCUCAUCGAGUCGACGUUGAUAUUGCUUGUUUUCAAAAAAUACAAAAAAAUCAAAAAAAAUCAAAAUUUACAAAAACAGAAGAAAUUGAGGGACCAAUUUUGAAAACCUAGCAAUAUUUAUGCCUAUAAAUACUGGUUUCCUCAACACACUCAAAGGGGGGGUAAUUUUGAAAUAUCAGAAAAAUCACAAAAAACCCUAAUGCUAAACUUAUCUCUACCCAAAAAAAAAAGAACACAGCCCCCCCCCCACCCUUUGCUUUUUUUGACACCGGCCAAACAACCCCCCAAAACCCCCCGGAUUAUUUUUUUUUCUUCUUCCUUUCUCCCUCACCAGCAGCCACACUCUCAGCCCCUCACUCCACAGCUGCCGGUCACCAGACCUCUCUCCCCCUCAGCCGUUCCUUCUUCCCUUGGCUAACAACACCACCACAACUCCCUUUUUUUUUUCCUCUGAUUUUCUCCACCCGGCCGGCCAAACGACAGCAGCAACAAGAUCUGCCAUCGGCAGAAGAAGAAACCCACCGCUGGAAACAAAGAACAACGGGGAAACAGUAGCAGCGACGGCCCCAUCCUCGUGCAGCAGCGCCGUGUUCCUCCAGUAGCAGCAAUCGGGCAACGAACAGAGCCCAUCACAGCGGCGACCGAGCUCCUCCAGCACGCUCACAGACCCCGAUCGGUCCAUUCCUCCGCCUAAACAUCGACAGCAAUCCCCUCUCCAUUGUGGUUUCAGCCGCCGGACGGACGACAGUAGCAACGACCACAGCCGCGACCCCCUUUGCAUCGCCACCCGAUCUGGCACCCGAAGUAGAGGAGAAGAAGACGGAACCCCUAACGAACUGACCCGGGGAGAAGAUGAUCUGAAGAAGGAGAAGAAGGAGUAGAUCGGAGAAAAAAAAACAAAAAAAAAACAACUGUUUGUUGCGUUUCUUGGCUUUGCAGGUGACAUACCUCUCACCACCGACAGGGAAUGCUGAGAAGAAGACGAUCCAUACACCCCUGGUUUGCCCGGUUUUCCAGCGGCGGCGCGUGAACCCACGCGCCGCCAGUGGCGAUGGCGUGUGGGAAGACGCACCGCUACUGUUCAGGCAACUCCAAAAAAAAAUUUCCUGAAUUUUAGGGACUAUUCUGUAAUUUUUCAAUUAUUUGAUGUAAUUUUUGUUUAGUUGUUUUGAAUUGGUAAUUUGUAAUGUGAUGUACAAAAAGAACAAAAAAAAAGAAAAAGAAAAGAAAAGAAACAAAUAUAGUGAAAGUGUAUGUGUGUUGGUAUUUGUUUUAUCAUUUGUUUUAUUUUUUUAUGAAAAAAUUGCAAAGAUUAAGGAAGAAUUUAAUAUUUUGAUUGGAUCACGGUCAAGAAUUAUUAACUUAUACGUAAGUUGUAUUUCUAAUAUCCGAUGAAAAGAUAAAAUUUUAAAACUUCUUUAACACGUCAAAGUCAUGAAGCAGCUUACUUCAGGUAGGGUGCGUUAGGGGUGCUAAUACCUUCCCUAAUCACAACCAGUCCCUUACCCGUGAAUCUCUAACAAGACCAGUACAUCCAGUUUCCUACUAGCCUUUAAUAAAUUACUAGGUGGCGACUCCCAAUGAAUCAAUUCAAGCAAACGCAACAACGAGAAAAAAUUGCCAGCUCGAUGCCGCGCGGAUUUUUUUCGACGUGCGACAAUCAUUUAGAAUUUAAUUUCAUUUGAUUUUUAUAUAAACUUUGGUCUUUAUUUUUAUGAUUGUCGCACGUGUGCGGCGGCGCGACGAUCGUCCACCCUCAAGGAAAAAUCGGAAUAUUUAUUUCUUGAAAAUAGGGAGAGACAAGGAAUUCUUGUCUCUACAAGUGAAAAUAUGGACUGGGAGUCGCCACCUAGUAUUCGGGUUACUAGGAACCUUAACUGGUCUUUAGAGAUCGGGUACGGAGACUAGUUGCGUAAAGGGAAGGUAUUAGCACCCCAACUACGCCCUACCGAAGGUAGGCUGCAUUGUUUUAAUGUCUGAUAAAAUCUAAGGUCGUGUUUGUGGUUUUUUUUGUUCGGAAUACGCAUUACAUGUAAUGUCAUACCCCAGGUCUUAUUGUAAAAAAAAUGAAACAUCCGGAAUUUAAAUAUCUGGAAUAUGUAUUACGUAUAAUGUCAUAUCCCGGAUAUUAAAAAAAAAAAAAUUUAUUGUUUUUGAAAUUUUGGCCAAUGUUCUCUUGACUUUAAUAAACUGGUUAUUAAAGCCAAAAUGCAUGCUAAAAUAUUUUUUUUUUUUACAUAUGAAAAAUACGAUAUGAUUUUGUAGAUUUGAGACACUUGGUUGUAUGCACAAAAACAUUUUUUUCUCUUUUUUUCAAUUUUCAAUUUUUUUUUUAUUUUUGGAAGUUUUUGCCGAAAACCAGGUAUUUUAAUAUCAGAUUUUGUAUUUUUAACAACAUAAAAAAUACCACCAAAUAUUAAUCAAAAUGACAUAAAAAUUACACGGAAAAAUUAUAAAAUGCUGAAACAAAUAUUUUUGAUUUUUUUCUUUGAAAUGGGCCGGAUUAGGCCCAAAUAUAUGGGCUGGGCCGAACCUGGCCCAAAGCAUGGGCUGGUUACUGUGCACAUAGUAACCGGGUUACUGUGUGUACAGUACCAGAGAAUUAAUCUGCGGGUUACUGUGCACAUGCACAGUAAUCGUGAAUUAAUUAGCGAGUUACUGUGCACAAAAAACGACGGGAAAGGCUACCUGCGGUGGUGAUGUUGGACUCUCUUCUCUGCUUCUUCUUCUUCUGCUUUCUUCUCUCUGUCUCUCCCUUCUUUCUCUUCUCUCCUUUUUUUUUUUUUUUUUAGCAGCCCUCCCCUGUAUUUAUAGGAAAAAACAGGGGAGGCGUCAUGGUGGUGGCCGCCGCCCCUCCACUAUCGAUCCGUGGAUAAAAGGAGGAGGCAAGUGGGUGAUUGCGGGCGUCUUAUUGCGCCAAAUCCGGGUGAGAAAUUAGGUGAAAAGGGGAAGAAAAAAUCUUCUUCUUCCCCUGCCUCGCGCGUCCAGGGGAAGAAGAAGAGCUACAGUGCCGUCAAAACGGCACCGUUUUGGGCUUCUGUUUUUUUUUUUUUUUUUUUAGCAACAGUGAAUGAAACGGCGCCGUUUUGGUCAAAACGCGCCGUUUCAUUUAAAAGGAAAAGGCGCCAAAAGCAUCAGAUUCAAAUUUCGGCCCUCCAUUUGCGCGCGUUUUACAAUUUAGUCCUUGGUCUCGGAUUUCUUCAAUUCAGUCCCUAAUUGGCCAUUAAACCUCAAUAUUUAUGCAAUUAAGCCCCUGAUUUGACCAAAUUAACUUCCAAAAAUUAUAAUUUGACCCUAGAAAAUUAAUUUCUCCUAAUUAAAGCCCAAAUUAACUCCAAAAUCAAUUUUUCUUGCAAUUAAAAUCUUCAUAAAUGCAAUUAAACCUUUAAUAAAAUUUAAUUGAGUCCAUAAACUUCUGAUUUUGCAUUUUUCUUCCACAAAUUGAAUUUUCUUUAUCAUCGGGGCUCUCAUCAGUCAAUGAUAUACUGUCAAAAAUUAAUUUUUGAUUUUUGAACAUCCUCAAUCAAUUUUUGAGCAUUUUUAGGGCGCUCUAGCAUUUUUUCACUGUUAUAUUUUUUGAUAAUAUAUUUUUUGAAUUUUUUUGUAUUUUAUUUUUUUUUAUGUGGGGACCCAAAAAUGGGUUACAACAAUGAUAAUUAUUUGUUUUUCUUUUAUUAUUUUCUUUAUUAAAAUUUUUUAUCUAUCAAAUUUGGUCAUCACUUUUUUAUUAUUAUUUAUUUUAUGUAAAAUAAGUUACGAAAUUGUAAUUUGUUUUUAAGUUCUUCAUCUUUCAACUUUUUUAUAUGUUAUAUUUGAUCUCUAUUAUUUUGAUUGUUAUUUAUUUUAUUUGAAAUAAUUUAAAAAAUUAGAUUAUUUUUUUAAUUUUAUUGUCAUUUAACUUUUUAAUUUGUAAGAUUUGUUUCUAAUUAUUUUAAUAAAAAUAUAUUAACAAUUUAUUUUCCAGCUCAUUUUCAAUCAUAUAGUCCAAACACUGAAAAAUAUUUUUUAUUUUUUUAUUUAUUACUAAAUAUUAAAAAUAAACAUUCACUUCUAAUAAAUUUAAUUUAAAAAAAAAUUAUUUUUCAACAAACAAACAGCAUAACUCUCCUAAAUUACGUGGAUACUCCAUUAUAACUGACAAACAUGAACAAGAAACUGGUGGGUGGAGACAAAUACAGUUGCAAUGUUAUUCAGGAUCGUCUUCUUGGUCCGUGUCUUCGUUAGCUUAGCAAUAGCAGCCACUCAAGAUCUCAACUUCACCUUCUAUGGCUUCCGAUCUACUAAUCUAAGCCUUGACGGCUUAGCUGAGUUAACCUCCAAUGGCCUUUUGAGGCUAACCAAUGUAACCUACCACCGAACGAGUCACGCCUUCUAUCCAAACCCAGUAACCUUCAAGAACUCUAUAAAUAGCACUGCUUUCACCUUCUCCACUACCUUUGUUUUCGCUAUCAUACCUGAAUAUCCAACUCUUGGCGGCCAUGGUUUUGCCUUUGUCAUUGCACCCACAAGAGGUCUCCCAGGAGCUGUUGCAAACCAGUACCUUGGUCUAUUUAAUGAGACCAACAAUGGGAAACUGACCAACCAUAUUGUUGCUGUGGAGCUUGACACGAUAAACAACAGCGAGUUCAAUGAUGUCAAUGAUAACCAUGUUGGGAUUGAUAUUAAUGGUUUAGAGUCUGAACAAUCAGAUUCAGCUGGAUAUUACUCUCAACUUAAUGGUAAGCUCACAAACUUGACACUAAUUAGUGGCCAUCCAAUGCAAGUUUGGAUGGAAUAUGAUGGCAUGGAGAAGCAACUUAAUGUCACUAUAGCUCCGAUUGAUGUUGAUAAACCCAGUAGACCACUUUUGACUUUGUCUCGUGAUUUGUCGCCAAUCUUAAACAGUAGUAUGUAUAUCGGAUUCUCAUCAUCCACCGGUGCUUUUACCGCGUCCCAGUAUGUGUUGGGUUGGAGCUUCAAGAUGAAUGGCCUAGCUGAAGCACUACAUAUCUCUCGCCUUCCUAAACUUCCUCGCGUAGGACCAAAGAAGACAUCCAAAUUCUUAACCAUUGGACUGCCUGUGCUCUGUUUAAGUUUGGUUUUAGUAGCAGUCUCGGGUAUAUCUUAUGCCAUACGAAGGACAAGGAAGUUUGCAGAAGUGCUAGAAGAUUGGGAGCUUGACUAUGGGCCUCACCGAUUUAAAUUCAAAGAUCUUUAUACUGCCACCAAAGGAUUUAGAGACGAGGAGCUGUUGGGUAGUGGUGGAUUUGGUAGAGUCUACAAAGGUGUCUUGCCAACCUCGAAGAUUCAGAUUGCAGUGAAAAGGGUGUCUCAUGAAUCAAGACAGGGGAUGAGGGAAUUUGUGGCGGAAAUUGUCAGCAUUGGUCGCCUUCGUCACCGGAAUUUAGUCUCUCUCUUGGGGUACUGCCGGCGUAAAGGAGAGCUACUUUUGGUAUAUGACUACAUGCCUAAUGGAAGUCUAGACAAACACCUCUAUGACCAACCACCAGUCGCCCUCAAUUGGAGCCAAAGAUUUAGAGUCAUCAAAGGCGUAGCUUCAGGGCUAUUAUAUCUACAUGAAGAAUGGGAGCAAGUUGUGAUUCAUAGAGAUGUCAAGGCUAGUAAUGUCUUGCUAGAUGGUGAAUUGAAUGGAAGAUUAGGGGAUUUUGGCCUUGCAAGAUUGUAUGACCAUGGAACAGAUCCUCAAACGACCCACGUUGUCGGAACUCUUGGGUAUCUCGCACCUGAGCAUGCACGAACUGGGAAGGCCACGACAAGCACUGAUGUGUUCGCUUUUGGGGUCUUCUUGCUUGAGGUUGCUUCUGGUAGAAGGCCAUUACAGCCAACUGAGGAUAUAAUCUUGGUUGAGUGGGUGUUUGGUCGAUGGCUUGGAGGUGAAAUUCUGGAGGCAAGGGAUCCCAAUUUGGGCACAGAAUAUAUUGCAGAGGAAAUGGAAUUGGUAUUGAAACUUGGUUUGAUGUGCUCUCAUUCUAAGCCUGCAGCAAGGCCAAGCAUGCGCCAAGUAGUGCAGUUCUUAGAGGGGAAUGUUCCUCUGCCUGACAUUUCACCACUUCGUCUUUCUUCAAGUGGCCAAAAUUUUGCACAUUUUGAAGGUUUUGAUGAGUUUGCCAAUUCUUAUCCUUCUUCUACGGACAAGGCAUUUGCACAUUCGUCCUCGGCUACAGAGUCCCUCCUUUCAGGUGGCCGUUAAUUCUUGCUUUUCUUCAAGGAUUGUUACAUAAUCUUCUUUUCUGUUAUGUAACAAACAGCAGCAGAUAUUGCUGAUGUUUAUUUGCGUUUACUGUUUAUGAAGUGUUUAAAUAAGACUUCUGAUAAUCAAUAAGAUUAACGACGUUUUCAGAAUAGCUUUGUUCUCUGUUAACAUUUACAAUUUAUUCUGUCAAAAACUAUCAGACCUUAUCAAGAACUCAUGUAAGAUCUAUUUAGUUGGAAGUAUUCCAGCAACUUAUUGAAAUAAUUUAUUAAAUUUAUAAUAUUUUAAAAUAUAAUUUAUAUUAUUAUUUAAAAUAUUUUAUUAAAUAAAAAUUCUUUAAACUUGAAAUUUAUAUAAAUUAUAAAUUAGGAUAAUGAGAUUCAAAUUAUUUUAAUUUAAUAAUAUAAAUUAUUAAAUAAAAUUAUCUUCAAAACUCUACUUUAUUUUCAAAACUCUGAUAAUAUAUUAAAAAAUUAUCUUAAUUUAAUAAUUUAAAUUAUUAAAUAAAAUUUUAAAAUAUAAUUUAUAUUAUUGUAUACCUAAAACUUAUUCUUUAAUAAACCGAUUCUCUAUUUUUGAGCAUUAUAAAUAGUCUAGUUAUGCAUCAAUUCUAACUAGCUACGUGUCAGGAUUGAAUACCACAUGACCGGCAUUGACUCUAUACAUAGAUAGUAACGUUACGAUUAGUCGGGUUAAACUGAAACAACCUUUUCAAUCAUCACUAUCACUCUUUCCCUAACCUGGAAGACAUGCAACUCAAUAAAACAGAGAAGACCACCAAAAUUACUUGUGUUGUUAUUGUUUUCCUGUUUUGUACCAGCAAAUUAGGACAAACUAAAUUGGUAGCACGCGUUACGUGUUACGCUAAUAUAUAUAUAUAUCUGAAACUCAGGUUAUUAACUAACUCCAUAGUCCAUAGGAUUCAAUAAAUUAUGAUCCUUUUUGUCAUCCUGAUUAGUCCACAUAAAGCAGAUUCUUCUUUAACUUAGUCACUUAGUUGCUGUUUGUUUUUGUAUUUUAAAUUAAUAUUUUUUAGUAUUUUUAUUUUAUUUUAUUUUAACAUGCUGAUAUUAAAAAUAUUUUUUAAAAAAUAAAAAAUAUAUAUCAUUUUGAUAUAUUUCCGAAUGAAAAAUACUUUAAAAAGCAACCACAACCACACUCUCAAACAAACUAUAACCUUAUCCAUAAAUAUUUCUAAAAGCUAUCCGGUUAUAAUAUAUCCAUAAUCUGAGUGCGCUCACGCAAUUGGUUGCUGCAGUAAAAAAAAAAAACCCUCCAUGCAGCAGCAUUUACCCCAUUUCAUGAGGGACGUCGUGUCCACCUUUCUUUAUCCAUCCACGACGUCUAACCACCCCACCAUUCCUAAUAACUACCCUAAAUCGCUAAUCCUCUCUCUCCCUCUCUCUUACAUACACUCUGUCGCACCCCAAAAAAUCAUCCGGCGCGUGGCAUCGGCUGGCGAUUUAUCUCGUUUUUGCGUUUGCUUUGAAUUGGUUCGUUGGAGUCGCCACCUAGUAAUUUAUUGAGGGCUACUAGGAUACCUGAUGUACUGGUCUUGUCAGAGAUCGCGGGUAAGGGACUGGUUGUGGUUAGGGAAGAUAUUAGCACCCCUAACACACCCUACCUGAGGUAAGCUGCUUUGUGUUCUGAUGUGAUUGGAAAAUUUAAAAUAUUAAUUAAAUUCUAAGGCUUGAAUAAAUCAGUUAUUAAAUCCCCGAAUAUAUGUAAAAACUUGUUCUUAUAUUUUCAUGGAAAAUACAACUUGAUUUUAUUUGUCCUUGAAAUAUUUAACCAUAUUCAAGAAAAAUUUAAAAUAUUAAUUAAAUUCUAAGGCUUGAAUAAAUCAGUUAUUAAAUCCCCGAAUAUAUGUAAAAAAACUUGUUCUUACAUUUUCGUGGAAAAUAUAACUUGAUUUUAUUUGUCCUUGAGAUAUUUAACUAUAUUUAAAUUUAACAAAUAAUUAUUUUUGUGUUUUUUUUUAUUUUUUAUAAUUCAAUAACAUAAAUAAAAAAAAGCAAACACACACAAACAUUUUUUUUCUUUUUUUUUAUUAUCACUUUCUCUUUCUUUUCUUUUUUUUUCUUUUACAUCCCUAUUUACAAAGUACAAAUUUAAAAUAAAUAAACAAAAAUUACAUUAAAACUUUAAAAUUUACAAAAUGGUCCCUAAAAACUCCGGAAAUUACAGGAAAGGACUUCAGGGGCUGCAUGAACAGUGACGGUGCGUCUUCCCACGCGCCGCGCCACUGGCGGUGCGUGGAUUCACGCGCCGCAGCAGGGAAAGAAACUGGAUGCAGUGGAUCACGACCGGCUUCUCUUUAUGUCCUCCUAAACCAUCUGUGACCUGUGGAACGAGAAGAGAAACUCAACAACAGUCGAUUUUAGUUUUUUUUUUAUUUCCUUUUGUUUCACUUCUGUUUUAUGUCUUCUUUUUGCUUCGUUUCUUCUUUGUUGGUUGCAGAUCCGGCGAGGGCAGGCUUCGAUGGCCACUGCUGGGCAGUUCUGGCGGCGGGUCUGUGGGCGGUGGCUGCCGAUCUGUGGACGGCGCUGCUGCAUGGGGAACGGAUCUGUGGGGAGUAGCUUCUGCUGUUGGAGGACGCCAUUGAUGGUCUGGAGGAGGAGGAGAUGCAGGUUCGGUCGGCGAUGGACAGGAAGAAACUGAAACGGCCAGCAAGAGGGGAGACUCCUUCGGGUGCAGGGAAGAAGGCCGAGAGAGGGAAGAGACCGGUUCUGCUUGUUCUGCUUUGGCUGCAACCGAGAGAGAGAUGAGGGAAAAAUGGAGGCCGGUUCAGGAGAUGAGUGAAGGAGCUGGGUCCGUGGGGAUGGAAAUGGCUAACGGGAGGAGAGGAAGGGGCUGGUCUGUGUGUUGCUUUUUCUUUGCAAAAGGGAGGGAGCGCCGGUCAGCUUCAACCGGGAAAGAAGAAAAAAAAAAUGGAGGCUUGUCUCACAGCCGGCUCAAAAAAAUCAAAAACAAGGGGGCUGCCUUGGUUUUAUGAUGGUGGCUGCCCGGGAGAAAAAAUGAAAUCCACCGGGGGGGCGCCUGGUUUGGGUGAGCGGCUGCCUUGAAAAAAAGGGUUUAGGUUUAGGUUUUGUAGUUUUUUUGAUGUUGUCAAAAUUACCCCCCCCCUUUUGCAAGUGUUGGAAACCAGUAUUUAUAGGCAAAAAUAUUGCCAAGUUUUUCAACUUGGUCCCUCAACUUCUUUCUUUUUUGUAAAUUUUGAUUUUUCUUAUUUUUUUUGUAUUUUUUGAAAACGAGCAAUAUCAACGUCGACUCAACGAGGAAAAUCAAUGAUUUAAAAAAAAGACGCAUGAAAAGUUGAACGCAUUUGAAAAUCUUUUAAAAAUUUAAAUUUUUUUUUUUAGACGACGUUGAAAAUGCUAAAAUGACGAAAAUAUAUUUAAAACAUAUUUUUUUGGAUUUUCUUUGUUUUUUUCUAUUUUUGAAUUUUUUUGAAAAUAUAUCAAAAACAUGGAUCAAAAAAUGGAUAGAAACAGACUGCACAUACACAAAUUAAUGAUAAUAUACUGUAUGGUGCUGUAAUUUAUACACAUAAUAACUCUAGCUUGAAUGAUUUCCAUGUCAGACCAUUUCCCGUGUCCCCAUACAUAUCAAUAUUAAUUCGUUCCGGCUCUCUCUCUCUCUCUCUCUCUCUCUAUAUAUAUAUAUAUAUAUAUAUAUAUAUAUAUAUAUAUAUAUGAUAGAGAGUCUUGUGAAUCACUAGCUCAAUAAUAUGGAUAGCUUGCUUUGUGAUGAGGUCUGGCUUUCCAGUCCUGCAACUCCCGAUUACCACAUUAAUCAACCACGGUAUAGCCAUGGAGAGACCUACGCAGCUGCUUCCUCAUUCUACACAACCACAAAAGACUGCGAGAAGGCCGUCUCUAUAUACCUGGAGAAGGAGUUCACUUGCAUGCCUGAACCCGGUUACGUAGAACAUCUUCGGACCAAAAAUUUGUUGUUUGCUAGGCUCAGAGCCAUUCAGUGGCUCAUCAAGGUUUUGUUUCUCGACUUGUAUAUAUAUGUAGAAACAUAGUAAUCAACGAGAUUAUUGCUUUUACGUGCAAUUAGUCACAGUCACCCCUCUCAUUAUCCUAUGCAUAUGUAUGUGUUCAGUCUCGUCAAAGGCUCAGUCUCUCUUUCGAAACUGUUUUCAACGCUGCCAAUUACCUUGACCGAUUCAUGUCGAUGAAUCAAUGCCAUGUAAGGGCUCGAAGAUUAGCUCUUAAAUUUUCAUUUAUAUUUUUGUCUUAAACUGUGAGAUUUGAUUAGUUAUUGUCUUAAGAUAACUAAUUAAAUCUUAUGAUCCCGUUGAUGUCCAGGGAUGGAAAUGUUGGAUGGUUGAAUUGCUGUGCGUGGCAUGCUUAUCAGUUGCAUCCAAAUUUACUGAGACACGUACUCCUUGCUUGCAUGAUAUUCAGGUGGUUACUGUUACAUUAAUUACUGUUGGCCUUUCUUGAUUGUUAUACUUUAAUUACUAACCACUAGCUAUUAAUUUAUGCAUCGAUCUGUUCUUGCGAUUAAAUUAAGAUGGAAGACCUCGAUCAUUCAUUCCAACCAAUCACUAUCCAGCGGAUGGAAUUGGUGCUGUUACGGGCUCUAGGUUGGCGCCUUGGCUCUACCACUGCAUAUUCUUAUGUAGAGCUGCUGGUUAUGAAAAUUGAUUUUAAUUGCUAGAUGGUGAAUUGAAUGGAAGAUUAGGGGAUUUCGGCCUUGCAAGAUUGUAUGACCAUGGAACAGAUCCUCAAACGACCCACGUUGUCGGAACUCUUGGGUAUCUCGCACCUGAGCAUGCACGAACUGGAAAGGCCACGACAAGCACUGAUGUGUUCGCUUUUGGG